UUAACCCUAGUGGUAUCCUGAGUAGCGCGGGACACGAGGAAUCUUGCGUGAAUCUGCCGGGACCAUCCGGUAAGGCUAAAUACUCCCGAGAGACCGAUAGCGAACCAGUACUGUGAAGGAAAGGUGAAAAGUACUUCGAAUAGAAGAGUGAAAUAGUCCCUGAAACCAUGCGCCUACAAGCGGUCGGAGCAGCUUUUAGCUGUGACGGCGUGCCUUUUGCAUAAUGAACCUACGAGUUACUUUUUCCGGCAAGGUUAAGCAUAUUAAUAUGUGUAGCCGAAGCGAAAGCGAGUCUGAACAGGGCGGAUAGUCGGAAGGAGUAGACGCGAAACCAAGUGAUCUACCCUUGGCCAGGUUGAAGGACAGGUAACACUGUCUGGAGGACCGAACCGAUAAGCGUUGAAAAGCUUCCGGAUGAGCUGAGGGUGGGGGUGAAAGGCUAAUCAAACUUGGAGAUAGCUCGUACUCCCCGAAAUGCAUUUAGGUGCAGCCUUGAUUUAUACUAAUAUGAGGUAGAGCGACUGAUAAGAUGCGAGGGCUUCGCCGCCUAUCAAGUCUUGACAAACUCCGAAUGCGUAUUAGUUCUAUAUCAGGAGUGAGGGCAUGGGUGCUAAGGUCCAUGUCCUAAAGGAGAACAAUCCGGACCAUCAGCUAAGGUCCCGAAAUAAUUGCUAAGUUGAUCUAACGAAGUCAGAUUGCUAAGACAGCUAGGAUGUUGGCUUGGAAGCAGCCAUUCAUUUAAAGAGUGCGUAACAGCUCACUAGUCGAGGAGUUUGGCGUGGAUAAUAAUCGGGCAUAAGCAAUUUACCGAAGCUAUGGGAUGUUUAAUACAUCGGUAGGGGAGCAUUCCACUCUGCGUCGAAGGUAAAGCGUGAGCUUUGCUGGAGCGUGUGGAAAAGCAAAUGUAGGUAUAAGUAACGAUAAAGGGGGUGAGAAACCCCCUCGCCGAAAGACUAAGGUUUCCUGAUCAACGCUAAUCGGAUCAGGGUUAGUCGGGUCCUAAGGCUCAGCCGAACGGUGAGGCCGAUGGCAGAACAGGUUAAUAUUCCUGUACUACCUUAAAGAGUGACGUGGAGACGGAGGCGUGACAGUGCCGCGGACUGACGGAAUAGUCCGUUGAAGGGUGUAGAUGUUGAUCGGGGUAGGCAAAUCCGCCCCGAGAGUCGAACCUGAUAGUAUGGAGCGUUCUUCGGAACAAUCCAAUAGUGCAUGUAAACAUACUCCCAAGAAAAUCCGCUAAACUUAAUCUUUAAGGUACCCGUACCGUAAACGGACACACGUAGUCGGGUUGAAUAUACUAAGGCGCUUGAGUGAUUCACGGUUAAGGAACUAGGCAAAUUGACCCUGUAACUUCGGGAUAAAGGGUCCCGUCAGCAAUGACGGGCGCAGAGAAUAGGUCCAGGCAACUGUUUAACAAAAACACAGGGCUGUGCAAAAUUGAAAGAUGAAGUAUACAGCCUGACACCUGCCCGGUGCUGGAAGGUUAAGAGGAGAUGUCAUCGCAAGAGAAGCAUUGAAUUGAAGCCCCAGUAAACGGCGGCCGUAACUAUAACGGUCCUAAGGUAGCGAAAUUCCUUGUCGGGUAAGUUCCGACCUGCACGAAUGGUGUAAUGAUCUGGACACUGUCUCAACCGUGAGCUCAGUGAAAUUGUAGUAUCGGUGAAGAUGCCGAUUACCCGCGAUGGGACGAAAAGACCCCGUGAACCUUUACUAUAGCUUAACAUUGAAUUUGGGUAAUUGAUGUGUAGGAUAGGCCGGAG
rnacentral:rRNA from 1 species